rnacentral:rRNA from 1 species
CCCUUAGAUGUCCGGGGCUGCACGCGCGCUACACUGACUGGCUCAGCGUGUGCCUACCCUACGCCGGCAGGCGCGGGUAACCCGUUGAACCCCAUUCGUGAUGGGGAUCGGGGAUUGCAAUUAUUCCCCAUGAACGAGGAAUUCCCAGUAAGUGCGGGUCAUAAGCUUGCGUUGAUUAAGUCCCUGCCCUUUGUACACACCGCCCGUCGCACCUACCGAUUGAAUGGUUCGGUGAAGAUCUCGGACUUCGAUAUUUAUUCUUUAUUGAGUUUAUAUUGUGGGAAGUUAUCUAAACCUCAUCAUUUAGAGGAAGGUGAAGUCGUAACA